AAAGCGUGUGGCAGUUCGCACAUUAUUAUCUUUAGCAGAACAAUCUUGAGAGUAUCAUAAAGCAGAGUUCCAUGAAGUUGAUCUUGUAUCUUGUAUAUCCAUAUUAAAUUAAAUAUAACUCCUUGGUUGGA